CAAGUUAAAGCUUUAUAGAAGCAUUUUAUUUACAUUAAAAAGUUGACUGUGGAAUUCAGUUUAAUUUGA
rnacentral:tRNA from 1 species